UUCAAGGCGUGAUAGCGCCUUCUAACUCUAAUUUCCCUCCACUUUCUACAAAAGCUCCAAUAGGCCCCCCACCCAUAUUACAAAAUCACCAUAAAAAUGGAUCAAGCCGACCCGAAAUCCAGCGACCUCCUCCGCCUUCCACCGCCAGCCGCCGCCUCCAAAGCCCGCCCCAAACGCUUUGUAAAAAACCAAAUUCCGGACUCAAUCCUGAACGACGCCGCUCUGAACUCUGCCAUCUCCGUCUUACCAUCCAAUUACAAUUUCGAAAUCCACAAGUGCGUGUGGCGCGUUCGCUCCUCAGCCGCAAAGCGCGUUGCCCUCCAGUUCCCGGAAGGCCUUCUCAUGUACUCUCUCAUCAUCUCCGAUAUCCUCCAGACCUUUACUUCCGUCACCCACUGCUUCGUCCUUGGUGACGUCACAUACGGCGCGUGCUGCGUCGACGACCUCUCAGCCGCCGCUCUCUCCGCCGACCUGUUAAUCCACUUCGGUCAUAGUUGCCUUGUUCCCAUUGAUUUUACUGCUAUUCCUUGCUUAUAUAUAUUCGUUGAGAUAUUUAUUGAUAGUAAUAAAUUGUUUAAUCAAAUAAAGCUGAAAUUUUCGAGUUCUGAAAAUUUCAGCUUUAUUUUAGCUGGGACCAUACAAUUUUCCCAUGCUAUUAGGGCUGUAAAGCCCGAGUUGGAGAAAUUAGGGUUUAGGGUUUUAGUUCCCCAGGCAAAACCCCUGUCCGCUGGGGAAGUACUGGGGUGCACUGCCCCUAGUGUGAGUAUCAAUAAAGAAUUCACCCGUGUUGAGAGGGAGGGAAAGGAGGAAAAUGAGGAGGUUAUAAUAUUUGUGGCGGAUGGGAGGUUUCAUUUGGAGGCGUUUAUGAUAGCAAAUCCUGGGGUUAAAACAUUUAGGUAUGAUCCGUUUUUGGGGAAGUUGUUUUUGGAGGAGUAUGAUUAUGAUGGAAUGAAGGAGGAGAGAAGGAGGGCGAUUGAGAGGGCAAGAGGGGCUAAGAAUUGGGGGCUUGUGUUGGGGACGUUGGGGAGGCAAGGGAAUCCGAGGAUUUUGGAGAGGCUGGAAGGGAAGAUGACGGAGAAAGGUUUGGAUUGGAUGGUGGUUUUGAUGUCUGAGUUAUCUCCUCAAAGGAUUGCAUUGUUUGAGGACUCAGUGGAUGCUUGGGUUCAAAUUGCUUGUCCAAGGUUGUCAAUUGAUUGGGGGGAUGCAUUUGGGAAGCCGCUUUUGACUACUUUUGAAGCAGAGAUUGCUCUUGGUGAUUUACCAGGGUGGUGGGAGAGGAAAUCAAAGGCUGGUGUGGAGUUGAGUUGCAGCAGUGGAUCAGAGCGUUCUGAGAAUAAAUCAUGUUGUGCGAGUAAUAGUGGAGAUAGGAAGGAGAAGGAUGAGGUUGUUGUGGAUUAUCCCAUGGAUUACUAUGCUCAGGAUGGUGGAGAAUGGAAUUCUUGUUACACUAAGAAGCCAACUCGCAAUCUGCGUAAAAAUUUACAGGCUGCUACUUACACUGCCAGUACCUGAAUAUCCAAUAAAUUGACAGUACAUUCCACAUAUUGCCUUGAAGGUGACUUGACAUCCCAUGAAGCCAUGAAAUGCAUAAAAUCGUUGAAAGCUAUUCUAUGCUUUUUGGAGUGCUUCCUGGCAUUUGCAGGCAUGACGGCUGGCCACUCUAGUUCUUCAUUUUUGAACUUUGUGAGCGAGUGGGGCAAUGUUUCCUCUUUCUUGCUGUUGCUUGUGGAUCUCUUGCUAAAUGGGUUUGGAAUGGUCUUACUGUUUUCUGGCCGUCAUGGUUCCUGCAACUUGCUGGAGGUAAUGUGACACCAGGCAGUCUGGUUGAUGUGUAUCAUCUGGCUCGCAAUGUACUUCAAGCAUAUAGGGAAGGGAUGGGACAGGAUGCUGGUGUUAUGGUUUCGAUGCAAAAGUUAAGAGUUCUUCAGACACGCAAUAGUUUUGAUGCAAAAGUUAAAGAGUUCUUCAGACACGCAAAAGUUUUUUCUCUGGAAGGUCUGUUGUUUUUGUGGAAUGUUAGGAGUGACAUGAUUGAAUUCUCCAUCGUUAAUGGGGCCUAUGCUUUGAGCCUAGUUUUCUUUUGGCUGGCUUUUGUGUUCUUCAGUCUUCACUUUUCUGUCUUGCUUUUGGGCUUUGGCUGCUGGUCGUGUGUCUUUGGUGACUAUAUAAAAAAUAAAUUCUUGCCA